CUAUGAUGUCCUGUGUUGGUUGUAGGCGAGUGACAGUUUUGUUGAAAGUCUUUUGUAGCAACUACUUUUGAGGGAGGAAGGGGUUAGGCAUCUUGGGAGUGUUUAAGCAAAAGGCCUGUGGACAUGCAUAACCUGUAGUAUUUACUGUCUAUGCACAGUAGGUAAGACCUGGGCGGACCACCCCCUGUAUUUUGGUUAGCGUGCCAGGAGGUGCUUAAAGGUUAGCACAGAUCAUCCAGGUCCACGACUUUCAUCAUCCCCAUCCAUACUAUCAUCCAUGUUGACCAGUCUAGCACAGCUGUUGCUAAAACCAACAACCACAAUUUAGAACGAUGGUCGUCCUGACCUCUCCAGUUCUGUUACUGGCAAGACGAAGAGGCAUUCAGUUUUCUGUUUUCUAUCAGAAAGGAUACCCGUCAGGUUUAUUCGAUAAAAGCAAUGUCAAAAAAAUAAUCAUUGCAACAUUUGUAAUGAAGGGCAGAUAUAGGAGAAAUGUUUAAGAUCAACAUUUUUAUUAGUUGGACAGGAUUUUUAUUGUCAAAUUUUCUUUGUGACAAAUUGAUGGAAACUGUUCAAAUAAAUUAUGAUUUCCAAAUUAGGCACUUCAUGCAGAUUUGUGGACUCGAGUCACAUGACUUGGACUUGAGUCUGACAAGUCACAAAUGUGACGACUUGAGACUGGACUAUUAGGCUAUCCAUAUAAAUGUACGGUUUAGCAAUCUGCUACGGACGCAUCUUUGCCACAACAGGCUACCUGGUAUUUUUAUAUUUCAGUUAGGUCUAGCUUGGUGGGUUAUAAUUAUAUACCUCAGUGGUGCAACUGCACAUGUCUAAACAUAGCUGUAACAUCACGCUACUUUCAAUACUUAUGGGAUGAAGACGUAACAAAUUCUGCUGAAUUAAUGACGAUAUUUGUGAGGAAUAAAAAGACUACAGACAGAACAUG